CCGUGCAGCCGGGGCAUUAGCGGGGUCCUGUCGCCUGCAAUCCGCUACAGCAGGGGUGAUACCGAUCCGAGGGUCGUUUUUUAUGGAGCUGCCCUUUUUAAGUGGCGUUGACGUCCGGGUCUUGCGCAACAGAAAUCUGCGAACCGUGUCAGGGUGGGAACACAGCAGCACUAAGCAGAACCUUCUGUGUGACGCAAGGGUGCCUGGGCCGAGUUAACUGGGAAGGUUACGUCUGUGGAAACCGUUUCAGAGUGAGGUGCACGG
rnacentral:SRP_RNA from 1 species